GAGUAAUGUCUGGGAAACUGCCUGAUGGAGGGGGAUAACUACUGGAAACGGUGGCUAAUACCGCAUAACGUCGCAAGACCAAAGAGGGGGACCUUCGGGCCUCUUGCCAUCAGAUGUGCCCAGAUGGGAUUAGCUUGUUGGUGAGGUAACGGCUCACCAAGGCGACGAUCCCUAGCUGGUCUGAGAGGAUGACCAGCCACACUGGAACUGAGACACGGUCCAGACUCCUACGGGAGGCAGCAGUGGGGAAUAUUGCACAAUGGGCGCAAGCCUGAUGCAGCCAUGCCGCGUGUAUGAAGAAGGCCUUCGGGUUGUAAAGUACUUUCAGCGGGGAGGAAGGUGUUGUGGUUAAUAACCACAGCAAUUGACGUUACCCGCAGAAGAAGCACCGGCUAACUCCGUGCCAGCAGCCGCGGUAAUACGGAGGGUGCAAGCGUUAAUCGGAAUUACUGGGCGUAAAGCGCACGCAGGCGGUCUGUCAAGUCGGAUGUGAAAUCCCCGGGCUCAACCUGGGAACUGCAUUCGAAACUGGCAGGCUUGAGUCUUGUAGAGGGGGGUAGAAUUCCAGGUGUAGCGGUGAAAUGCGUAGAGAUCUGGAGGAAUACCGGUGGCGAAGGCGGCCCCCUGGACAAAGACUGACGCUCAGGUGCGAAAGCGUGGGGAGCAAACAGGAUUAGAUACCCUGGUAGUCCACGCCGUAAACGAUGUCUACUUGGAGGUUGUGCCCUUGAGGCGUGGCUUCCGGAGCUAACGCGUUAAGUAGACCGCCUGGGGAGUACGGCCGCAAGGUUAAAACUCAAAUGAAUUGACGGGGGCCCGCACAAGCGGUGGAGCAUGUGGUUUAAUUCGAUGCAACGCGAAGAACCUUACCUGGUCUUGACAUCCACAGAACUUUCCAGAGAUGGAUUGGUGCCUUCGGGAACUGUGAGACAGGUGCUGCAUGGCUGUCGUCAGCUCGUGUUGUGAAAUGUUGGGUUAAGUCCCGCAACGAGCGCAACCCUUAUCCUUUGUUGCCAGCGGUUAGGCCGGGAACUCAAAGGAGACUGCCAGUGAUAAACUGGAGGAAGGUGGGGAUGACGUCAAGUCAUCAUGGCCCUUACGACCAGGGCUACACACGUGCUACAAUGGCGCAUACAAAGAGAAGCGACCUCGCGAGAGCAAGCGGACCUCAUAAAGUGCGUCGUAGUCCGGAUUGGAGUCUGCAACUCGACUCCAUGAAGUCGGAAUCGCUAGUAAUCGUGGAUCAGAAUGCCACGGUGAAUACGUUCCCGGGCCUUGUACACACCGCCCGUCACACCAUGGGAGUGGGUUGCAAAAGAAGUAGGUAGCUUAACCUUCGGGAGGGCGCUUACCACUUUGUGAUUCAUGACUGGGGUGAAGUCGUAACAAGGUAACCGUAGGGGAACCUGC
rnacentral:rRNA from 2 species